AAUUCCCGGCGUAGUGGUGAAAUGCGUAGAUAUCGGGAGGAACACCCGUGGCGAAGGCGGCCUUCUGGGCUGUUCCUGACGCUGAAGGCGAAAGCUAGGGGAGCGAACGGGAUUAGAUACCCCGGUAGUCCUAGCUGUAAACGAUGGAUGCUGGGUGUGGGGGGUGUAAAUUCCCUCUGUGCCGAAGCAAACGCGUUAAGCAUCCCGCCUGGGGACUACGGCCGCAAGGCUAAAACUCAAACGAAUUGACGGGGGCCCGCACAAGCAGCGGAGCGUGUGGUUUAAUUCGAUGCUACACGAAGAACCUUACCUGGGUUUGACAUGCACGUGGUAGGGAACCGAAAGGGGACCGACCUUCGGGAGCGUGCACAGGUGCUGCAUGGCUGUCGUCAGCUCGUGCCGUGAGGUGUCGGGUUAAGUCCCGUAACGAGCGCAACCCUUGCCCUUAGUUACAAGCGUCUAAGGGGACUGCCCGGGACAACUGGGAGGAAGGUGGGGAUGACGUCAAGUCAGCAUGGCCUUUAUAUCCAGGGCUACACACACGCUACAAUGGCCGGUACAAUAGGUUGCGAAGUCGUGAGGCGGAGCCAAUCCUCAAAGCCGGUCUCAGUUCGAAUUGCAGUCUGCAACUCGACUGCAUGAAGCUGGAGUUGCUAGUAAUCGCAGGUCAGCUAUACUGCGGUGAAUACGUUCCCGGGCCUUGUACACACCGCCCGUCACGUCAUGGAAGCUGGCAACGCCUGAAGCCGGUGAGCUAACCCGAAAGGGAGGCAGCCGUCGAGGUGGGGCUG
rnacentral:rRNA from 1 species